AUUCUGAAGAACAGGAGAGAGACUGGCCUCCCAGCUGAGCUGCCCCAAUCUCCAGACUCUAAGCCCUAGGGCAUAUCCAGUGCCCCAAACCUCCCACCCCUGCAUCGGCAAGGCAGCUGGGGCCCUGCUCCAACUCCUGUGGAAUUCCAUUGUUCUGGUACAGUCCAUAUAAGUCAAGGAGCAGGCCCUUCUCAUUAGAAGAGGAAUGUUAUCUUCCAGUGAAGACCCAUGGAGAGUUUAUUCUAUAGACCUGAGAUUCUGAAUCAGAUGAGGUGAAUAAAUGUCAUAUUUCCUAUACACUACAUAUACAAGUUUUACUAUUUAUUGAGAUGGUAAGGCCUCUUAUAAGCAGAUAAAGGCACUUGCUUUUCUUGCAGAGGAUCCAGGAUCUGGUCCUAUUAUCCUCAUGGUGGCUCAUGUCUGUAACUCCAGGUCCAGAAGAUCUGACGCCCUUUUCUAGUCCUUGUGGACACAAGGUUUCACAUUCUUUUGGAAGAAAAACAUUGCCUUGAUUCGUUUUGAAUCUAUUCGCAGCUGGCAUCGAAUAAGUGGUGUUGACAGCCUGACUGAGACUUAAAGUGAAGCAGGAAAAUUCAGAAAGUGGAGUCAGAAGUUUAAGAUGCAAUGUAGACAUCAAUGGAGUAAGAAGCCCGAACCAUUCCUCUGAUGACUUCGUAUGAAGGAAACAGGAGACACAUACCAACGUGUGACCAGCUAAAUUGUUUUACAUAGGAAAUUCAUAAUUUGCUCAAAGCUGGCUCAGACAUUAUACUCUAAAGGACUGCUUCUUGAAUGCUCCUGUAUUCAUGUGCCAUUGGUAUCACUAAAUUCUAACCUGUGUGAAGAUGAUGACCUAAUUUUGUCAUUCAACUCUAGAAGCCUGCCCCCUUUCAAAUUCUCUCCUCUAAAUUUUACAACACAGAUAACUUUACUUUCUUUCAUAAGUGUUCUCUGCUUUCUCUUUUGUCUUUCUUCUGGGUUUAUUUUUUUAUCUCUGUACCACUCCAUUUUUUUUAACUCAAGUGACAUUCUAUUUGAAA